AAUCAAAUUUCACUCAUUCCCCUAAAUCAAAUCUCUCUCCCAAAAUUGAAAUUGCUCUCCCACCACCACCACCCUACCGCCAGCACCGCGGGCUAUCGUCUUCCACCACCACCACCAGUAGUCAUUCGGUCUGCCUCUUCCACCAACGCUCUAUCCUUUACAGGACCCACACUUUUCGAGCCGCUACCACCACCGCCGUCUGUCCUCUAACACCACCACCACUCGCAGUAGUUCAUAACGGAAAAAUUACGGCUUUGGCGGGUCGGAUUGCGGCGUGUACCCUCUUCCAGUACGACUCGCAGGAGUGAGAAAGGGAGGAGGGUCUGUGACCUAGCUAGUGGUUGGUAAAAGGAUCAAGGGGUGAUGUAACCAUCACAAUAUCGAGUAAAGUUGGAGAAAGGUGUUGUCCUGAGGGCCAUUUGUGCUGGUUUUGAGGAACCAACUGAGCCAACUGUUUGUUUGAGUGGUGGGAUCAAAAGAACAUAGAUUUCAGGAAGUUGGAUGCUCAUGUUCAUCAACUAAAGGGCAACAGCUCCAUUGAUCCUCUGUCAGUUGAGUUAGGACCUGGAAUUUGGGAAAUAUUUUUUAUGGCAUUCAGGUUUGUAGCUAAACUUCUGUUAUUCUCAUUUCAAUGAGUCCAAAGAUGGGCGUUCUGGAGAGAACUUGAUGGAGUGAAGCAGUUAAUCAAGAACAGACAGUUGGAGUUGAAUCUAGAGAAUGGUGGCCUGCUGUUUUGUUUGGAGUUGAGUGUUUUGCCUGGUUCUGUCAAGAUGAGAUUAUUGGAAGAGGCUUCACAGUUGUAGGUUUCCAUGUUUGAUUGCAAUUCCUUCAGGAUUUUCAGAAUUUUAAUACUGCUAUUCCAAUAAUAAUAAUAAUAAUCAGUUUUGUCC